UCAACAUUAGUUGGCAUACAUUAGUUGCCAUGCCCAACCCAAAGCUAUUCUUGAAAUAAGAAGUAGAGCGUGUCAUCAUGACCUACACUCGUUUCUAAUCGGGACUUUUAUGCAACGAAUAUGAUGGCAUCAUAGUAUCUAAUUUGAUUUGUGGAAUUAUAUAUGAUAUGAGUAUAGUUUUAAAUAAUUUCCUGCAGAUGUACAUAUUGAUUUAAAUUUGUGGAAUUAUUAUAAUGAAUUGAGUGUGGUUUACUUUAAUGACGGGGAGCUGAUUGUCUUGGGCUGUUUGGACAACUUUAAUGUGAAGAGGGAAGUUGAGGCACUUUUUACUUGAGGACUUUUGGCCUUCGUUCAACAUACUAGUCCAAAAGUUUCUGUGUGUCAAUCCUCGCUCAAGAACUCUAUUCCUGGUUUGAAGGGAUCGAAUAUGGCUCAAGGUAUUAAUAUUUAUCUCUCUUUAUCUAUUUUUUGCUUUGUCAUUAAGCAAUUGCAAAUAUAAAUAUAAAUAAUGAAGCAAAAUAAUUCCCUGCUUUUCAAUUAUAUAUUCAUAUGUGCACUCAAUAAUGUCCAUCUUCGUAAAUUAAAAUUUGAUCCGUCUCACAUAAUAUCUGAAAACCAGACACAACUAGGUCCCUCAAUAAAUGAUGUUUAUUGACAUUACUUGAAUAAUUGAGUGUUUUCUCUACAAUCCAUAUUCUGGCCAAGUAUCAACCCCCAUAUCAAACAUAAUCUUGACACUCAAAUUAUUUAUGUCCUUUACUUCUGUGAGCUGUUUCCAUCUCUGUCCCAUCUCCUUAAUCAAUUAUGCUCCUGAACUAUUUGUCACCAAUAUGAUAGACAAAUACAUUUGCUACAUUUAAAUAUACAUAUAUCACUUCAUAUAAUAUUCCCAUAUUUCUCCCAUCUCUAUUUCCAAUAUUCCAUGCUUGCUUAGUCGUAAAUCUACAUAUUAUUUAUAUCAUAUCCAUAGAUUUAGAUGUACAUCUAGCUUGUCUUAAACAUGAAUCAAGACUGCCAAACAGAGUGCUUUAUUACAUAUAUGACAUAAUUAUUUUAUCAUCCAUCUACUAUGACAUUUUAAAUAAAAGAGAAUUAACUUAAUGUAGUACAAAACCUCAGUAUCGAAGGUCUCAAGUUCAAAAGUUAAGUAUUCUUUAUAUAAUGUAUAGUACCCGAGACAAUGGAGUGAGGGAGUGUUAAAUAUCUAACUGACCUGUCUAAUUACAUCUUAAGCUUUUUGUAGUCAUUAAUUAACGUAACACUUAAAAUGUGAUGCCUAAGUUAAUUUUGCAUACUAUUAUUUAUUUGAGCAAAGGUGGUAGAUAACUUGAAACUUCCUUGAUCUCAUAGAUAAUAAUACUAUAUGCAUGUUUCUAUAUUAUUAUAGUCUGUGCACAUGGAUGACUAAUUAGUAUGUUCCCAGGUUCUUUGUAGGAAACUAAAAUUUGAUUAGUGGGUUGAUACUAUGAACUGUCCACAUGGGGCCUUGGGUCUUAAGUGGCCUUCGUUGCGGGACAUGAAGGUGGCCUAUAUAUAUGCUUGAUUUGUUAUAAAUUCAACUCAUAAUAACCAUUUCUGCUUAUAACUCUAAGCUUAUAAUUCUUGCUCCAAUACUUUUACUUUACUAAACCAUCAUUUAAUGGCCUCUUUCGUACCCGAAAACUUUGAAUCCGUUGCAAGUUGUGAAUUCAACGUAGAUGGUGCGCUUCUCUUGUCACAAUUUCUUGAUGAAUCAAAUGUAGAAGAUUGUGAAGACGAUGAGCGAUUAACAAGUGUUAUUCGAUCAUUAGAAGCUGAGAUUAUGGAACCUAUUUUGAUGACUGAAGAUGGUGAUUCAUUUAUGGAGCUUGAGUGGGAUGAUAACUUUGUUAUGAUUCGGGAUUAUAUUUUUGACGGGCCAGCAGAAAAUGAAAUGAACAGUCAAGAUUGUUCAACAUCGUCGGAGAGUGAUGAUCUUGAUAACUAUAACUGGAUGGAUAUCGAAGACAUGAUUCAAUCUGGAGUUGGAGAUGAUUAUUGUC
rnacentral:lncRNA from 1 species